GGCCUUUCGGAGCUGUGCGGCACGCUGAGCAGGAAUGGCAAUGUGGACCCCUGUGAUGGGACAUCUUGUGGGAUCUUACAGCCAGAUCUGUGGCAAAGGAGGAUGAAGGCUUAUGAGGACUCGUCAGGAAGCUGGAUAACAGAACGAGCGCAAUGUGCUAGAAUAGAAGACCAGAAAAUGAAAUGGUGGAGUUUGAGGCUGGAUAGACAGUUUGAAAGUUAACUGGUUGCAUGCUUGUUCAUUUGGCUGGCUUGCUUGGGUACAAAUGAUGGUUUGAAUAAAGAAAGAUAUUACGCAUGGGUCACCUCAAGUGAAGGCGCUGCAAGCACAAUGAUUGGUCAUUCUGAAUUUCCCGUCCUUCAUUCUGAAUUUCAAAGGCUCCUGUGACAAGUGGACAUGCAGUGACUGUACCUUUUGUACCUUUGUUUCUGAGGUGCCUGGAUGGAGGCUCAAAUAGAAGAUGGUGUCAGAUAUAUUGUGUUGUCAAAAUUUUGCCAUUAAAGUGUAUUAUAACAUU
rnacentral:lncRNA from 1 species